CAGACUUCACACACCUAUGAGAACAUUAUGAAGGACUCUCAGGCAUUCAGUUUCCUCACAACAUUUUCCUUCACUGUUAAACCAAGUGCCAAUAUAUAGAGCUAAAAUAACUCUGAACAGACUGUAAUAGUAUUUGAACAGUGUAAUGUCUAUUCAUUUCAAAAUCUGUGAAUGCAGAUUUCUAAACUAUAUAUCACAGCCAAAACUCAAAAUAU